rnacentral:rRNA from 1 species
AGAGUUUGAUCCUGGCUCAGAGUGAACGCUGGCGGCAUGCCUAACACAUGCAAGUCGAACGGUAACAGGCCCGCAAGGGUGCUGACGAGUGGCGGACGGGUGAGGAAUACAUCGGAAUCUGCCCGGUUGUGGGGGAUAACGUAGGGAAACUUACGCUAAUACCGCAUACGACCGAAAGGUGAAAGCGUGGGAUCCGCAAGGACCUCGCGCAGCCGGAUGAGCCGAUGUCGGAUUAGCUAGUUGGCGGGGUAAAGGCCCACCAAGGCGACGAUCCGUAGCUGGUCUGAGAGGAUGAUCAGCCACACUGGGACUGAGACACGGCCCAGACUCCUACGGGAGGCAGCAGUGGGGAAUAUUGGACAAUGGGGGCAACCCUGAUCCAGCAAUGCCGCGUGUGUGAAGAAGGCCUUCGGGUUGUAAAGCACUUUUAUCCGGAACGAAACGUGUUGGGUGAAUAGCCCAGCAAACUGACGGUACCCGGAGGAAUAAGCACCGGCUAACUUCGUGCCAGCAGCCGCGGUA